CCUACGGGGGGCAGCAGUGGGGAAUUUUGCGCAAUGCUCGUAAGAGUGACGCCGCGACGCCGCGUGAAUGACGAAGGCCUUCGGGUCGUAAAGUUCUUUCGACAGGGAAGAAAAUGCCUAUAAGUAACUGUGUAUGUAUUGACGGUACCUUAGGAAUAAGCCUCGGCUAACUACGUGCCAGCAGCCGCGGUAAUACGUAGGAGGCGAGCGUUAUCCGGAAUGACUGGGCGUAAAGGGUGCGUAGGUGGUUUGGCAAGUUAGUAGCGUAACUCCAAGGCUCAACCUUGGAACUACUACUAAAACUGUUGGACUUGAGUGCAGGAGGGGCAACCGGAAGUCCUAGUGUAGCGGUGGAAUGCGUAGAUAUUAGGAGGAACACCAGUGGCGAAGGCGGGUUGCUAGACUGUAACUGACACUGAGGCACGAAAGCGUGGGGAGCAAACAGGAUUAGAUACCCUUGUAGUC
rnacentral:rRNA from 1 species